GGUUAGGGGUAAGAUCCAUGAUGGAGGGGUGUGAAUUGGGAAUAAAAUACUUGUUAGUUCACUUGGGCCAAGGGCCUAAGUCUUGACCAAAGGGACCCAAGAACCGACUUCAUGAACGAAUUCCAUAACGUAGCUUCAAACUCACCCCGGAUUGAGCACUCAUGAGAACUCACGGAUUGAAUGAAGUUGCUCGCGUCAACCUUGCAUCAUUGUCGUCAACGCGUCAUCGACGAGGAAUGAGGAUCAGCUUCAAUCGGUAACGUGUAGUCGAUGAGGAGUGAGGAUCAGCUUCAAUUGGUAACGCGUAGUUGACGAAGAGUGAAGAAUAGUUUCGAUUGGAAAUGCAUGGUCGACGAGGAGUGAGGAUUAGCUUUGAUUGGAUUCCUCUCCAGGGCUGAAUCGACUGGUUUUCUAUUGUGGAAAGAUGUUCUCUUGGACAAUGCUUCAAAUGGAUUCGAGCUUGCUUAUGGACUUGGUGAAAUGGAGUCCAUGAUGUUAUCAUGGAGCUAUUGUGAUAUUGUAAUUGGAUUGGAUUUUAUUGAAUGUAGACUUGGAUCAUAUUGGAAAAUUGUGGUUGUUGUAACAUGAAUCAGUGAUUUUGGAAAUGUAAUGUAAUUUGGAAUUGAAAUUGUAUAAGAUAGUUGUAUGAAAUUAUUGAAUUUCAGAA